rnacentral:pre_miRNA from 1 species
CCUGCACUGGUGGGGUCCCUCGGCCUGGCCUGCGCCCUCUCACAAUCUGGAACCCCUCAGGGGAUGUCAGACUGCUGAUUUCGACCCGAUCCCUGCAGGCCAGGCCGAGGGACCCCACCAGUGCAUG